AAGGAGAUCGAGAGAAUCGUGGUUAAGGAACUCGGCAAAAUGCCCCCCGUAACUUCGGGAGAAGGGGGGCCAUCCACUUACUAGGACUUGCUCCGAAAGGGUGUGGUGGCCGCAGAGACUAGUGGGUAGCGACUGUUUACUAAAAACAGUCCGUGCCAAGUCGCAAGACGAUGUAUACGGACUGACGCCUGCCCGGUGCUGGAAGGUUAAGAGGACCGGUUAGCCGCAAGGCGAAGCUGAGAAUUUAAGCCCCAGUAAACGGCGGUGGUAACUAUAACCAUCCUAAGGUAGCGAAAUUCCUUGUCGGGUAAGUUCCGACCUGCACGAAUGGCGUAACGACUUCCCAACUGUCUCAACCGCGAACUCGGCGAAAUUGCAUUACGAGUAAAGAUGCUCGUUACGCGCAGCAGGACGGAAAGACCCCGUGACUUUACUACAGCUUGGUAUUGGUGUUCGGUGUGGCUUGUGUAGGAUAGGUGGGAG
rnacentral:ncRNA from 1 species